rnacentral:rRNA from 1 species
UACGUAGGGUGCGAGCGUUAAUCGGAAUUACUGGGCGUAAAGCGUGCGCAGGCGGUUGUGCAAGACCGAUGUGAAAUCCCCGGGCUUAACCUGGGAAUGGCAUUGGUGACUGCACGGCUAGAGUGUGUCAGAGGGGGGUAGAAUUCCACGUGUAGCAGUGAAAUGCGUAGAGAUGUGGAGGAAUACCGAUGGCGAAGGCAGCCCCCUGGGAUAACACUGACGCU